rnacentral:lncRNA from 10 species
CCAGUAGGAAAGACAAAAUAUUGUAUCAUUUUUCUGAUUGUAGUUUUUUUCAUUCUGCUUUUUAUUUUCUCAUUUUUCUACAUCAAACAUGGAUUAAUACAAAAAUAAUUCAAUCAUUAUAACACAUUAAAGGUGAUUAGCCUCAGGCACAAAAGAUGAAGGGCAUUCAGGAGGCAUUUGCCAUAAACCAGGAAAGAAAUGAGAAAGGCUUGUGCUGGACUCCAGUGGUUUCCAGUCCUAGCUGUACUUUAGAAAUACCUAGGGAGGUAUUAAAAAGUACUCAUUUCAGGCACAACACAGACUAAUUAAUUUAGAGUCUCUGGGAUGGUACCUUGACACUGGUAUGUUUUAACGUCUGCCCCCUGCCUUGCCCCAAGUGACUCUAAAAUGUGCAGGUGGAGAUAAGUCCACUACUCUAAGGCAGUGGCAGUUGGAAAGGAGAAGAAGAGGAUUUGGACCUGAAUUACGUUCCAGGGGUGGGAUCCCUAAAAAGGAUAUAAAUCUUAGGACAUGAAUUUGGCUUUAGUGGGUUUCCUUCCAUUCUAUAUAGCUCUCAAGGUCAAGUGCAUUGCUGAGGAAUGGACAAUAGCCUCUGCUGAUCCCUCUGAUCUAAGCUGCUGCUGGCACGGCAGCAUUGGAGGCUACAUCCAUUCUCAGCACAUUUGGAGUGCAAUGAUGCUGCAGGAACAAAUCGCCCACCUUCCAAAUGCCCUGUGAGUGAGUCAGUGCUCAGCAGCAUUGGCAAGGCGGAGCGCUGUAACGGCAAAGAAAGGAUGACAUCUCAUAUACAUGUGUGAACAGGACUGUUUACUCAUAGGAUGAUUAUUUUAAAGGAGACGUUUGGUUUUUUAAGGUCCGUAGAAGUUUGUUUCAUCGCUAAUCGCAGCGGGUGUAGGUGUUAGCUAACAUACCGGUAACUGAAUGUUCUUAGCAAUACUGCAAUAGCUUCCCUUAAGGUUUAAAAAUUACAAUUUGAUUUUAAUUGCCACCUCUCUUAAUAGGUGUUACUCAAACAGGAAGGAAAAUGCCACAUACUCUUACCAGUUCUUGAUGCCAGAGAUUACUAAAGCAAUUUGGAAAGAUAUCGAAAAGGUGUUGAGAAAAUACAGUGUUUAGGCACAUGAGAGAAGAUGAGGAACCAGGACAGGAAAUGGCAGCGUUUCCACCAAAGGUCAAGGGGAACAUUAAUGGGCUACAUUCCAGACCCAAGGCUGACGAUCUUCUUCAAAGGAGUCAGUGGUGGAAACACAGACUCAGAGCCACUCCCAAAAGGGGUGUCAGUCUCCACUGUGACUGACCACAAAACCCUGCAGGAAAGAGGCUGUGGGUUUUCCUGCGUGGUCCCCAGACCCUAAUAUGCCCAUGUGGCUGCCUAAUACACAUCUCUAUUUAAAAUGUUCAGAAUCUGUGUACUUGGAGGACUAAGCAGGAAAGAAAUAGAUUGAACGGGCCAACCAGGUAUUUUAGGAUUUGGGCUGUCAACUUUAUAGUCUAACAGCAAUGGAAAUGUCUAAGAUGGAAACAAUCAAAACAGUCAAGUUGUCAACAAUUGCCAAUGAAUUCAGCAGCCUAAAUGAAACAAGCAAGGAAUGAGACUUAAGAAUUUAAAAAAGGGAUGAAGGACCCAGUUCUUCCAGCCUAAAGGAUUUUGAAAUCUCCGUUUGCUUAACCAAGGACAUGAAUGCCACAACUCCUGAAUGCAGAACUUAAUCCAGCAGCGUGCCUCCAGUAGAAAAUAAGCUGAAGUUCAAUGUAUUCUCUAUGAAGAAGAGGGAUGUACAGGAAAAUCUGCAGGCCUGGGUGUCAGCCCUGAGUCAGGACUCUGACUCUGUUGCUUCUUAGCUGUGGGACCAUGGGGGCUUACUCUCUGGAAAGAGAUAGCGAGAAACACCCAGGUGAUUAUAUUGCACGGUGGAAUGAGGUAGUAAGUGCUGAGAGAGGUGAACAUGCUAAAGAAAAUGCUGUUUAGGUUCCAAGAAGGUGAGAACUACAGCCCCUUGGAAAAUAAGCAGAGGUAAGCUGUACUUGAGAUUGUCCAGGAAGGAUGCAUAGGAUGUUGUAAUCAGGGGUAGGAUGGGAAAUAAAUAAGAACAUUCCUGUCUGAGGGAACAGAGCACACUAACCCAGCAAGGUGGGAAAUAAGGAACGCUUAGCAUUUAGUUUAGAAAGCUUAUGUGGCAUGUGGAAGUAAGGGAAAAUAAAUGAAAUUCAUACGCUGAAUUUCCACAUUAUGCAUAUCCUUGAAUGCCUCUGUUUGCCAAUUUGGAAGCGAUGACAGACACAGAUAAAUCAUGAAGAGAAGCUGUCUUGGGAUGGAGGUAAGUGUGUUCAAGUACAUCUUCCAAGAACAUAUUAGGUCUGAGAAAAAUAUUAGAACUGCAGGAAAGAAAAAAGCAUUGUGAUAAUAUGAUGAUACCGUUUAGUCAUUAAGUUCUAUGGUGACAAACCAGAGCUUUCCUAUGUUUGUAAUGUAGGAGGCUAUGCUGUGAUUAAAUCAUUAUCUGUCCAGCCAAUAAAAUACAAAGAAAGCCAGUAAAGCAAUUUUGUUAAAGAAGCAAUUGAAGGGCCGGGCACGGUGGCUCAUACCUGUAAUCCCAGCAUUUUGGGACGCUGAGGUGGGCGGACUGCCUGAGCUCAGGAGUUCAAGACCAGCCUGGACAACACGGUGAAACCCUGUCUCUCCUAAAAUACAAAAAAAAUUUGCCAGACAUGACGGCAUGCGCCUGUAAUCCCAGCUACUUGAAGGCUGAGGCAGGAGAAUCAUUUAACCCUGGGAAGUGGAGGUUGCAGUGAGCCAGAAUCUCCCCACUGCACUUCAGACUGGGCGACAGAGCAAGACUCGAUCUCUAAAAAAAACAAACAACAACAAGCAAUUGAAAUAGCAGUUUUUGAACCUAAUACUUUUUCUCUCCAUGUUCCUUUAACAGUUGCAUGAUCAAGCUGACUUGAGGGUUCUGAACAGAAGCUGACCAGUCUACUGCACAUUGUAAAGAAGUUAAAAAGCUGGAUUGAAUUGCAAAAUGUACUACUCAAGGAGUCCAAAGAAUAAAAUAUGAGCAGCUUGUGGGGGUAAAGCAUUCGUAGGUCCCUGAAGCAACUUAUAGCAGUGCGAAUCAACACCUUCCAGGAGAGUCCUUGGUCUUUGUGGCUUACUGAAAUCAGAAUACCAGAAUUCCUGUGCCCAGGCACAGGUAAGUGGAGAUGGAAGUUAUUGUGGGAAUUAAGAGGUCAUUUUUGGCCUCAGGUGCUUUCAGAGAGAGGUCUGGAGGAGCUGCUGUAGGUUACAUUGGAAAAGGAUGGCGUGAGGGACCUGCGUCUUGAGAAGUCUUUUAUGAGCCUCCCAAUUCUGGGUUAGGUGUCUCUCCUACCUGCCUCCACAGGGCUUCCUUCUUAGCUUUAGUACUUAUCCCCCUGUUGGCUCUUGUAUGACUCUUGCAUGACAUAGUAAGCAUCCCAAGCAGUACAGUAUCCCCAGCCCUCGGUCCUAG